rnacentral:lncRNA from 1 species
CUUAAUCUCUAUUUAAUUAAUAUAUAAGUUGAGACAAUAUACAAAAAAAAAUGCAAUGUACAUACUUUAAUAGUACACGAUACAAUAGAAAUUGAGAUAAAUAUAUCAUGAAUAUACAAUAGAAAUUGUGUCUAUCCUAGUUGCACUCAGGCUUUAGCUAAUCUUCCACAAACUCUAGAGUUUCCUUGUAGUUGGAGAACUGGUACAAUAUCAAGCUCGUGUUGAGCUUUUCUGCUUGUAUAUGGCACAUUAUGUGCACUAAUUACUUGGUAUUGGAUAUAAAGUCCUGACCUAUUUAAUCUCAUGCUUCAUGUGUUACCUAAAAUUNNNNNNNNNNNNNNNNNNNNNNNNNNNNNNNNNNNNNNNNNNNNNNNNNNNNNNUUGCUCACCUAAAAUCACUCUUUAAGGUCGCAGUCCCGUUGUCGAGAUGAACUAAAUAAUAAAUUUCAAGCUUGAUAUUGAAAGCUACUCCCAUAUUUCCCUUCAGCGUGUAUACACUUUAACCAAUAGAUCUUGAAAGACAUCAACAACUGUUGAACCUCGCAAUACAACAUUGUGAAAUCAAAGAGUACACACAUUAAAUUAUGGAGACUUUAAGUAACUAAAAAAUCUAAUAUGCCUCUUUGGAAUAUUGGCAGGAUCUUCCUUUAUAACCUUCGCCUAUGAAAUAAUCAUCUAUUUUGUACCCCCCCAUUGCAUUGCAUUACACUGUCCACUAUACCAUAUUUAAAAAAAUAGAAUUUAAAAUAUUUGAUCGGAUACAUCAAAUAUGGAAGUCUCCACUUUGAAUUUGGUGCCUCUGGCAGCUUGAACUUGAAGGUGUGCCAUGUGUUACCUGCAAUGAUGUGUCCAUUUACAAACAUAGUUAGCCACAACUCUCAACCUCACCAUUGAAAGUUAAAAUGUUUAUUAAAGUUAAAAGUUAAAAUGUUUAAUCAAGAAACAUACAUACAUGCUUAUUAUAGUUGCAGCCACAUGAUUAUGUGGUUAAAAAUUAUGCAGGCUGGAUCUUGGAGUUAUAACAGAACUGAAAAGUGGUUCCAAGUGCUCUUUAAUUUGUAAAAACAUUUUCAAAGUUAAUUCAAGAAUAUUACUUUCAUCAAAGAGAAUGAAACAAUGGUAACACUUUCUCAGCCCUGUCAUAAACAAUCCAGUUUAGAAUACAAUCUAAAAGGCUCAUUGACAUUAUGUAAGUGCUCACAUCCAAAUCCAUCAAAUUUCAUUCAAGCACUUUCCACAUUUUCAUUUACUGUUGCCCAAUUUAUGAUCUUUUUUUUCAUAUCAGAAAACUGAUAAUUGAAUGCCCAAUAAUUUCAAGAAACUAAAAAUUAGGUAAAUAAUCUUUUUACUUGAUAAUAGAUUAGGGAAAUCUCCGAAUAAUGUAGAGAAGUUCAAAAAACCAUUCCAGGAUCAACAAAAAUGAACUUAGAAAAGAGGACUCGCCCAUUUAAGAACCACCAAAAUCAUUACCAAAUCCUCAUUUACAAAUUAAGACAUCGGCAACUGCAACAUACAGAGCAACAUAGCAUCAAUGAGAUUGGUAGCAGAAUCAAAUCAAACAAAUAAAGAACCAUAGAAAGCUUAAUAAUCACUAUAUAAGCACUUUGGCUUUUAUGUUCCAACACUAUUUACUUGAUUGCUUGCAAAGUGAAGUCUUUCUUUUAAGUGAGGCCUUAAAUAUUCAAAGUGAAAAAAUCAUUCAUAAAUUUAUAAGAAAGCGAAAGUUAUAGAAAUAUUCAUAAACUAAAAAAUAAUAUAAGAAUUAGUUUUUGCAUCAAUCAACAUUUCAUAUAAUAUAUAUGCAUAAAUUGUGAUCCAAUGAAUCACC